AGCGUACACGGUGGAUGCCCUGGCAGUCAGAGGCGAUGAAGGACGUGCUAAUCUGCGAUAAGCGUCGGUAAGGUGAUAUGAACCGUUAUAACCGGCGAUUUCCGAAUGGGGAAACCCAGUGUGAUUCGUCACACUAUCAUUAACUGAAUCCAUAGGUUAAUGAGGCGAACCGGGGGAACUGAAACAUCUAAGUACCCCGAGGAAAAGAAAUCAACCGAGAUUCCCCCAGUAGCGGCGAGCGAACGGGGAGCAGCCCAGAGCCUGAAUCAGUGUGUGUGUUAGUGGAAGCGUCUGGAAAGGCGCGCGAUACAGGGUGACAGCCCCGUACACAAAAAUGCACAUACUGUGAGCUCGAUGAGUAGGGCGGGACACGUGGUAUCCUGUCUGAAUAUGGGGGGACCAUCCUCCAAGGCUAAAUACUCCUGACUGACCGAUAGUGAACCAGUACCGUGAGGGAAAGGCGAAAAGAACCCCGGCGAGGGGAGUGAAAAAGAACCUGAAACCGUGUACGUACAAGCAGUGGGAGCCUCUUUUAUGGGGUGACUGCGUACCUUUUGUAUAAUGGGUCAGCGACUUAUAUUCUGUAGCAAGGUUAACCGAAUAGGGGAGCCGAAGGGAAACCGAGUCUUAACUGGGCGUUAAGUUGCAGGGUAUAGACCCGAAACCCGGUGAUCUAGCCAUGGGCAGGUUGAAGGUUGGGUAACACUAACUGGAGGACCGAACCGACUAAUGUUGAAAAAUUAGCGGAUGACUUGUGGCUGGGGGUGAAAGGCCAAUCAAACCGGGAGAUAGCUGGUUCUCCCCGAAAGCUAUUUAGGUAGCGCCUCGUGAAUUCAUCUCCGGGGGUAGAGCACUGUUUCGGCAAGGGGGUCAUCCCGACUUACCAACCCGAUGCAAACUGCGAAUACCGGAGAAUGUUAUCACGGGAGACACACGGCGGGUGCUAACGUCCGUCGUGAAGAGGGAAACAACCCAGACCGCCAGCUAAGGUCCCAAAGUCAUGGUUAAGUGGGAAACGAUGUGGGAAGGCCCAGACAGCCAGGAUGUUGGCUUAGAAGCAGCCAUCAUUUAAAGAAAGCGUAAUAGCUCACUGGUCGAGUCGGCCUGCGCGGAAGAUGUAACGGGGCUAAACCAUGCACCGAAGCUGCGGCAGCGACACUAUGUGUUGUUGGGUAGGGGAGCGUUCUGUAAGCCUGUGAAGGUGUGCUGUGAGGUAUGCUGGAGGUAUCAGAAGUGCGAAUGCUGACAUAAGUAACGAUAAAGCGGGUGAAAAGCCCGCUCGCCGGAAGACCAAGGGUUCCUGUCCAACGUUAAUCGGGGCAGGGUGAGUCGACCCCUAAGGCGAGGCCGAAAGGCGUAGUCGAUGGGAAACAGGUUAAUAUUCCUGUACUUGGUGUUACUGCGAAGGGGGGACGGAGAAGGCUAUGUUGGCCGGGCGACGGUUGUCCCGGUUUAAGCGUGUAGGCUGGUUUUCCAGGCAAAUCCGGAAAAUCAAGGCUGAGGCGUGAUGACGAGGCACUACGGUGCUGAAGCAACAAAUGCCCUGCUUCCAGGAAAAGCCUCUAAGCAUCAGGUAACAUCAAAUCGUACCCCAAACCGACACAGGUGGUCAGGUAGAGAAUACCAAGGCGCUUGAGAGAACUCGGGUGAAGGAACUAGGCAAAAUGGUGCCGUAACUUCGGGAGAAGGCACGCUGAUAUGUAGGUGAAGUCCCUUGCGGAUGGAGCUGAAAUCAGUCGAAGAUACCAGCUGGCUGCAACUGUUUAUUAAAAACACAGCACUGUGCAAACACGAAAGUGGACGUAUACGGUGUGACGCCUGCCCGGUGCCGGAAGGUUAAUUGAUGGGGUUAGCGGUAACGCGAAGCUCUUGAUCGAAGCCCCGGUAAACGGCGGCCGUAACUAUAACGGUCCUAAGGUAGCGAAAUUCCUUGUCGGGUAAGUUCCGACCUGCACGAAUGGCGUAAUGAUGGCCAGGCUGUCUCCACCCGAGACUCAGUGAAAUUGAACUCGCUGUGAAGAUGCAGUGUACCCGCGGCAAGACGGAAAGACCCCGUGAACCUUUACUAUAGCUUGACACUGAACAUUGAGCCUUGAUGUGUAGGAUAGGUGGGAGGCUUUGAAGUGUGGACGCCAGUCUGCAUGGAGCCGACCUUGAAAUACCACCCUUUAAUGUUUGAUGUUCUAACGUUGGCCCCUGAUCGGGGUUGCGGACAGUGUCUGGUGGGUAGUUUGACUGGGGCGGUCUCCUCCUAAAGAGUAACGGAGGAGCACGAAGGUUGGCUAAUCCUGGUCGGACAUCAGGAGGUUAGUGCAAUGGCAUAAGCCAGCUUGACUGCGAGCGUGACGGCGCGAGCAGGUGCGAAAGCAGGUCAUAGUGAUCCGGUGGUUCUGAAUGGAAGGGCCAUCGCUCAACGGAUAAAAGGUACUCCGGGGAUAACAGGCUGAUACCGCCCAAGAGUUCAUAUCGACGGCGGUGUUUGGCACCUCGAUGUCGGCUCAUCACAUCCUGGGGCUGAAGUAGGUCCCAAGGGUAUGGCUGUUCGCCAUUUAAAGUGGUACGCGAGCUGGGUUUAGAACGUCGUGAGACAGUUCGGUCCCUAUCUGCCGUGGGCGCUGGAGAACUGAGGGGGGCUGCUCCUAGUACGAGAGGACCGGAGUGGACGCAUCACUGGUGUUCGGGUUGUCAUGCCAAUGGCACUGCCCGGUAGCUAAAUGCGGAAGAGAUAAGUGCUGAAAGCAUCUAAGCACGAAACUUGCCCCGAGAUGAGUUCUCCCUGACUCCUUGA
rnacentral:rRNA from 1 species